UACGAAGGGGGCUAGCGUUGCUCGGAAUUACUGGGCGUAAAGGGCGCGUAGGCGGAUUGAUAAGUUGGAGGUGAAAGCCCAGGGCUCAACCCUGGAAUUGCCUUCAAAACUAUCAGUCUUGAGUAUGAGAGAGGUGUGUGGAACUCCGAGUGUAGAGGUGAAAUUCGUAGAUAUUCGGAAGAACACCAGUGGCGAAGGCGACACACUGGCUCAUUACUGACGCUGAGGCGCGAAAGCGUGGGGAGCAAACAGG
rnacentral:rRNA from 1 species